rnacentral:rRNA from 1 species
GAUGAACGCUGGCGGCGUGCCUAAUACAUGCAAGUCGAGCGAACGGACGAGAAGCUUGCUUCUCUGAUGUUAGCGGCGGACGGGUGAGUAACACGUGGAUAACCUACCUAUAAGACUGGGAUAGCUUCGGGAAACCGUAGCUAAUACCGGAUAAUAUUUUGAACCGCAUGGUUCAAAAGUGAAAGACGGUCUUGCUGUCACUUAUAGAUGGAUCCGCGCUGCAUUAGCUAGUUGGUAAGGUAACGGCUUACCAAGGCAACGAUGCAUAGCCGACCUGAGAGGGUGAUCGGCCACACUGGAACUGAGACACGGUCCAGACUCCUACGGGAGGCAGCAGUAGGGAAUCUUCCGCAAUGGGCGAAAGCCUGACGGAGCAACGCCGCGUGAGUGAUGAAGGUCUUCGGAUCGUAAAACUCUGUUAUUAGGGAAGAACAUAUGUGUAAGUAACUGUGCGCAUCUUGACGGUACCUAAUCAGAAAGCCACGGCUAACUACGUG